rnacentral:rRNA from 1 species
UUUUCCGGUUGAUCCUGCCGGACCUGACUGCUAUCGGAUUGAUACUAAGCCAUGCGAGUCAUUGUAGCAAUACAAGGCAUACGGCUCAGUAACGCGUAGUCAACCUAACCUAUGGACGGGAAUAACCUCGGGAAACUGAGAAUAAUGCCCGAUAGAACACUAUACCUGGAAUGGUUUGUGUUCCAAAUGAUUUAUCGCCAUAGGAUGGGACUGCGGCCUAUCAGUUUGUUGGUGAGGUAAUGGCCCACCAAGACUAUUACAGGUACGGGCUCUGAGAGGAGUAGCCCGGAGAUGGGUACUGAGACACGGACCCAGGCCCUAUGGGGCGCAGCAGGCGAGAAAACUUUGCAAUGUGCGAAAGCACGACAAGGUUAAUCCGAGUGAUUUGUGCUAAACGAAUCUUUUGUUAGUCCUAGAAACACUAACGAAUAAGGGGUGGGCAAGUUCUGGUGUCAGCCGCCGCGGUAAAACCAGCACCUCAAGUGGUCAGGAUGAUUAUUGGGCCUAAAGCAUCCGUAGCCGGCUCUGUAAGUUUUCGGUUAAAUCUGUACGCUUAACGUACAGGCUGCCGGGAAUACUGCAGAGCUAGGGAGUGGGAGAGGUAGACGGUACUCGGUAGGAAGUGGUAAAAUGCUUUGAUCUAUCGAUGACCACCUGUGGCGAAGGCGGUCUACCAGAACACGUCCGACGGUGAGGGAUGAAAGCUGGGGGAGCAAACCGGAUUAGAUACCCGGGUAGUCCCAGCUGUAAACUAUGCAAACUCAGUGAUGCAUUGGCUUGUGGCCAAUGCAGUGCUGCAGGGAAGCCGUUAAGUUUGCCGCCUGGGAAGUACGUACGCAAGUAUGAAACUUAAAGGAAUUGGCGGGGGAGCACCACAAGGGGUGAAGCCUGCGGUUCAAUUGGAUUCAACGCCGGAAAGGGC